CUCACCUCCUCCUUACUGGGGGCCUGGAAUGAGAUCAGCGAAGAAAGCCGUUGGCAGACUUCAGCCUGCGGGAUCAGACGCCCCUCCAAAGCAGGGACUGCUUGUCCUCAUCCCUCCGCACUGGAGUCCGUCAGGACGGACAACCCAAGGCCCGGAAAGAGGCAACCUCUUACUCCAACACUUUCCAGAAAUAGAUGUUGGUGCCUCAAGUGGAAUUCUCUUCAUGGUGAUUUGGGGAAGCUCAUCACAAGCUGAUCUAUAAGCCUUUCAGACUCACUUGGGAAAUGGAAGCGGAAAGCCCAGAUAGAGUCAAAACAAAUUCAGUCAAGAAGAAUGAUCUUUGGACUUGUAAAGAGAAGGAGAAAAAAUCUUGGUCGCCAGACUGUUGACAUCCCAGACAAAUGCUGAAGUCAUCAGAGUAUAUACCAAAUUGCCUUCCAUCAGUCAAUUAGUAAUGAGAGGCACUGGGCCAGAGGCCAGGUAUUAAAAGACAAAAAUGAAAAGUCUCCCCCUCAGUGAAUUUCUAUUCUAUAAAGGUGAGCAAUAUGGAUACAUAGGAGGUUAAAGGAAAUCUGGGGCUUAUCAGACACCUCCAUCUUUUUUAGCUGAAGCAACCUCUCCACAUGGACUCCAGGGAGUGGAUUCAAGGAGAAUUGUAAUUCUGUAUGAGGGCAGCACCUUUCAGGGACUGGGGAGUGUGGAAGA